rnacentral:rRNA from 1 species
CCCUUAGAUGUCCUGGGCUGCACGCGCGCUACACUGAUGUGUCCAGUAAGCACCUAACCUCUUCCGAAAGGAACGGGUAACCUUUGCAAAGCACAUCGUGAUGGGGAUAGAUUAUUGCAAUUAUUAGUCUUGAACGAGGAAUUCCUAGUAAGCACAAGUCAUCAGCUUGUGUUGAUUACGUCCCUGCCCUUUGUACACACUGCCCGUCGCUCCUACCGAUUGAAUGUUCCGGUGAGCUCUUCGGACUGCGCGGUCUGCAGUUUCUGCGUUCCGUGCGGAAAGUUGCGCAAACCUUAACAUUUAGAGGAAGGAGAAGUCGUAACA